UAUUGUUUAAAUUUUUUUUCAGUGAUGAAAUAAUUAUGAAUGAUAUACAUUAUAUGAUAUUUCAUUGGCUUAAUCUUUUCUGAAAUUUAUUCCCACAACAAACAACAAUUGCAAUCUGUUUAUUUAGGUAAUCCAAUUCAAUAUUUCUUUUUCAGAUGGUUCUAUUCUUCAUGCGAAAACAGACCUUUUUCUGUAAUAAUUGAAUUUAUCUCUAUCAGAAUUUUUGAACAUAUAGGAACAAUGUAUUUUAUAAUUUUACAUAUUAUAGAAAGGAUCUACAUAGUGAAAAAUAUUUCUGCUACUUAAGAUUUAUGCAUCAUAUAUUUGAUUUAUGAUGAUGAAAAUUUAUAUAUCAUAAAAUGGAACAUCUAUACAUCAUAUAGUUUGAAAUAUAUAAAAUGGAACUUUAUAAGAAUCUGCAUGUUUUCCUAGAAAUGAUCACACUCAUAAAACUUGAAACUAGCGAGAAUUGAAUCGAAAAAAUUUUUCUAUUCUUAAUGCGAAAACGGACCUUUUUGUGUACUAAUGAGUAAUUAAUUUUAUCUCGGAAACAGAUAUUUAGCUUUUUAUUGCAAUGAGCCCCUAGUUCAUUAAAAAUCACUUACUCCAAGAAUUGUAGUUAGUUACGGUUCUCAUUUCUUAUCAUCAGUUACGUUCUCAUUGUGACAACCUAUCCCUUUGGUAGAAAACGUUUACCUUCUAAGUGACUUCUCCCAAAGAUGGAUGUUUCCAUUUGUAUUCAAAGAGGACAGUUAUUAGACUUCUAGAUCAUAAAAAUUGGUAAAUUUUUACUUUGCUAUGUAAUAAAAGUGCAUGAAAUAUGUAGAGUUGGUUCAGUCUUCAUUUAACAUGCGGUAGGUAAUGUUCUCUAUACUAAUGUAAGUACGAAUAAGAGUGUAACAUAGCAAAAUAGUCAUGUGUUCAAAGAAUAUAAUUUUUUUCGUAUGAGUUAGAUGCUAGAUAUUUUAUAUUGAGAAUACAUCCGAGAGUUUUUUAAUUGAUCAAAAAGUUCCUACAAACAUGAAUUAGAUUUCACUUUAGUUUUUAGAUAUUUAAAAGUUCAAUAGGUAUGGAACUGUCAGUAUUUUAUAGAUAUAUUUCACAUUAAAACUAAUUUAAUAAUUUCUAUGUUUUUACUACCAAUGAAAUGGGAUAUUGGCAAUUUUACAUCAUUAGAUAACAGGAAAAUUUUACAUAUGAUAUCAAAAGGCACGAGACUCAAUUAUUUAGGAUCCAUUGAAAUAUAUGUGAAUAGUAAUAUCUUUUAGUAAUAUUAUAUCAUUAAAAAUAUAAUAAGUGAACUAAAAAAUGUAGUAUAGAUAAGGUAAUGAAAGAUUUCAUAUCUUGAAAUUGCAUCUCAUGCUAUUCAGAUUGUAUUGGGAGAAAAUGGAAAAAUGUCAUCAUCUUUAUACUUGGAUGAUUCUAUUCUUCAUGCGAAAACAGACCUUUUUCUGUAAUAAUUGAAUUUAUCUCUAUCAGAAUUUUUGAACAUAUAGGAACAAUGUAUUUUUUAAUUUUACAUAUUAUAGAAAGGAUCUACACAGUGAAAAAUAUUUCUGCUACUUAAGAUUUAUGCAUCAUAUAUUUGAUUUAUGAUGAUGAAGAUUUAUUUAUCAUAAAAUGGAACAUCUAUACAUCAUAUAGUUUGAAAUAAAAUGGAACUUUAUAGGAAUCUUCAUGUUUUCCUAGAAAUGAUCACACUCAUAAAACUUGAAACUAGCAAGAAUUGAAUCGAAAAAAUUUUUCUAUUCUUAAUGCGAAAACGGACCUUUUUGUGUACUAAUGAGUAAUUCAUUUUCAUC